AUACUACUCUUCUCGUAUUGCAUUCUCAUCCGCAUGGCCGAUUGUCCAUCAUGGGCUGAAAUUUAUGAGAUUGCAUACAUAUGCACACUCGGUUGUGAAAAAGUACGAGAAAUCGCGACAUUCGAACCCGCCAAAUUAUCGCACAAGUUCAGCGUCUGGGCGUGGAAAAUGGGGAAUCCUUGCGACGCAGCGGCAAUAAUAUUAUUCCAAAUCGGUCUCAUAUUACGGUUGUGAUCGGGUACUUUCGACAUUGCACGUGGCAUGUAUUGCAUCGAUUGUACUUAUUGGUAUCUUCGAAUCCUCAAUAUUCUCGGUGUCAACAAAUAUUUGGAUCCUCUGGUUACGAUGAUGGGAAAAAUGGUGAAAAAUAGGAUAUGCUUCGCGGUCCUGUUGCUGGUCGUGCUGAUAAGUCUGGCGUAGCAAGGCAAGCUAUUCGGUUUUCAGUUUCCGAAAAACGAACCGAAGUGGUAAAUUGUGAGAGAUUUGGUCGAGUUUCGAAUUCGUAAGUUAGAAUUGAACCAGCCGCUACUAGCGCAUCUGGGUGUUAUCCAUCGUUUCAUGGCGACGUACAUGCCGAACGAUGGUCUUGGGAGUUUGGACAUCGAGAUCCAGCAUACAUUAAAGAGCAUUAUUCACGGAGUAUUUUACGACAGAUCAACCACUGUUCCAAUUUCGCAUUCCACACUCUGUUGAUUUGUUUCCUUUACAUCCGUUUAUAGUCUCAUUUUUGCUGCGAGUCCCAGUCAAGUUUUGUAUAAUUUUAAAGUGAGUUCAAUUAUGUUCUUUAUUAUUACAGAUUACAGAACGGAAAAUAAGUUUGAUCAAAAAAUUUGAUGAUAAUUUUUAAAAGUUACCGACGGCCGAUAAUUCACUGAUGUUCAGUAAAGGUAGUGGGAUUUGGCUGGGAUUCCCCCAGCCAAAUUCUUUCACUGUCAUAUACGUUCUAUUUAUUGAUUAUCAAUUAUUUCCGUUAAAAUUUCUGAAUGCCAGCAUCGCUCAACAAUCGCAAAUGUUCCGAAUUUUCAACAUUUAUCCAACUGUCAUUUUCUCGGAUAGAUAGAUUAUUUUCUCGCGUAGAUCAUUCUCACAGAAUAAGACUUCUUAAUAAUUAUAUACGAAAAUUGAGAAAAAAGACAACACGGAAU